rnacentral:rRNA from 1 species
AUUGAACGCUGGCGGCAGGCCUAACACAUGCAAGUCGAGCGGAUGAAGGGAGCUUGCUCCUGGAUUCAGCGGCGGACGGGUGAGCAAUGCCUAGGAAUCUGCCUGGUAGUGGGGGAUAACGUCCGGAAACGGGCGCUAAUACCGCAUACGUCCUGAGGGAGAAAGUGGGGGAUCUUCGGACCUCACGCUAUCAGAUGAGCCUAGGUCGGAUUAGCUAGUUGGUGGGGUAAAGGCCUACCAAGGCGACGAUCCGUAACUGGUCUGAGAGGAUGAUCAGUCACACUGGAACUGAGACACGGUCCAGACUCCUACGGGAGGCAGCAGUGGGGAAUAUUGGACAAUUGGCGAAAGCCUGAUCCAGCCAUGCCGCGUGUGUGAAGAAGGUCUUCGGAUUGUAAAGCACUUUAAGUUGGGAGGAAGGGCAGUAAGUUAAUACCUUGCUGUUUUGACGUUACCAACAGAAUAAGCACCGGCUAACUUCGUG